rnacentral:rRNA from 1 species
GAACGCUGGCGGCAUGCCUAACACAUGCAAGUCGAACGAAGCGGUGUGGAUUGAGACUUCGGUUGAUUGAAACAUUGACUUAGUGGCGGACGGGUGAGUAACGCGUGAGUAAUCUGCCUUAGAGUGGGGGAUAACGCUCCGAAAGGAACGCUAAUACCGCAUAAGAUUGUAGUACCGCAUGGUACAGCAAUUAAAGGAGCAAUCCGCUAUGAGAUGGACCCGCGUCGCAUUAGCUAGUUGGUGAGGUAACGGCUCACCAAGGCGACGAUGCGUAGCCGACCUGAGAGGUUGAACGGCCACAUUGGGACUGAGAUACGGCCCAGACUCCUACGGGAGGCAGCAGUCGGGAAUAUUGCGCAAUGGAGGAAACUCUGACGCAGUGACGCCGCGUAUAGGAAGAAGGUUUUCAGAUUGUAAACUAUUGUCGUUAGGGAAGAUACAAGACAGUACCUAAGGAGGAAGCCCCGGCUAACUAUGUG